rnacentral:rRNA from 1 species
GAUGAACGCUGGCGGCGUGCCUAAUACAUGCAAGUCGAGCGAACGGACGAUAAGCUUGCUUUUCUGAUGUUAGCGGCUGACGGGUGAGUAACACGUGUAUCACCUUCCUCUUUUUCUGGGAUAACUUCGUGAAACCGGUGCUAAUACCGGCUAAUAUUUUGUACCGCAUGGUUCAAAAGUUCAAGACGCUCUUGCUGUCACUUAUAGAUGUAUCCGCGCUGCAUUAUCUAGUUGGUAAGGUAACAGCAUACCAAGGCAACGAUGCAUAGCCGACCUGAGAGGGUGAUCGGCCACACUGGAACUGAGACACGGUCCAGACUCCUACGGGAGGCAGCAGUAGGGAAUAUUCCGCAAUGGGCGAAAGCCUGACGGAGCAACGCCGCGUGAGUGAUGAAGGUCUUCGGAUCGUAAAACUCUGUUAUUAGGGAAGAACAUAUGUGUAAGUAACUGUGCACAUCUUGACGGUACCUAAUCAGAAAGCCACGGCUAACUACGUG